AUGGUAAGAUGUGAAAGUUUAUAUACAAAAAUGUUAGGAUCCCUACUUUCAGUAAGAAAUGAUUUUCAUAACAAAAUCAUGUUGAGUAAUAAAAAGAAUGAAGAUUGCAAUAGAGAGAAUAGAAUUCUUUAUUUAACAGAAAUAGGAAAACUAAGUAGAAUUUUUCUCAAUUUAUGCUUCUCCUUUCUCACAGGAUUAGCAAGUCAUAAAACUCAAUUAUUCAAAGAUACCCCUCCCUUAUACCAAUUUGGGAUAUUUAAAAACUUUCUAAGAAUAACAGCAGUAUUUAACAACAACCUAACAAACUUCCUUAACAACUCUUAA